rnacentral:rRNA from 1 species
CGAGUCAACAUAGCAAUAUGUGGCAUACGGCUCAGUAACACGUAGUCAACAUGCCCAGGGGACGUGGAUAACCUCGGGAAACUGAGGAUAAACCACGAUAGGUCAUCACUUCUGGAAUGGGUAAUGACUUAAAUCUAUAUGGCCCCUGGAUUGGACUGCGGCCGAUCAGGCUGUUGGUGAGGUAAUGGCCCACCAAACCUGUAACCGGUCACGGGCUCUGAGAGGAGGAGCCCGGAGAUGGGCACUGAGACAAGGGCCCAGGCCCUAUGGGGCGCAGCAGGCGCGAAACCUCUGCAAUAGGCGAAAGCUUGACAGGGUUACUCUGAGUGAUUUCCGUUAAGGAGAUCUUUUGGCACCUCUAAAAA